GUCGCUGUGGCGCAAUUGGCCAGCGCGUUCGGCCGUUAACCGAAAGGUUGGUGGUUCAGACCCACCCAGGGACG